ACUGAUUUGGGAUCAUAUCUGGCCAAUGCCGGAUCACCUUGGGUUAGAUUGGGUCCACCUGGAGUGAUUUUGAAUGUGAGAAUGGGACAUGUGUCUGGCAGCUGGGGAGAAGGAGACAUGCAGUGAAGUGUAAUAAUAAUAAUAAUAAUAAUAAUUUAUACCCCGCCCAUCUGGCUGGGUUUCCCCAGCCACUCUGGGCGGCUUCCAACUGAAUAUUAAAAACAAUACAGCACCAGACAUUAAAAACUUCCCUAAACAGGGCCACCUUCAGUUAUCUUUUAAAAGUAAAAUAGUUGUUUAUUGCCUUGACAUCUGCUGGGAGGAUGUUCCACAGGGCAGGCGCCACUACCGAGAAGGCCCUCUGCCUGGUUCCCUGUAAUCUCCCUUCUUGCAGCGAGGGAACUGCCAGAAGGCCCUCGGAGCUGGACCUCAGUGUCCAGGCUGGAUGAUGGGGUGGAGAUGCUCCUUCUGGUAUACUGGACUGAGGCCGUUUAGGGCUUUAAAGGUCAGCACCAACACUUUGAUUUGUGCCUGGAAACAUACUGGGAGCCAAUGAAGAUCUUUUAGGACUGGUGUUAUAUGGUCUCGGCAGCCACUCCCAGUCACCAGUCUAGCUGCCGCAUUCUGGAUUAAUUGCAGUUUCCGAGUCACCUUCAAAGGUAGCCCCACGUAGAUGGAUUUUUGUGUGGAAAGACUGUAAACUCAGUUCAGUUCUGGUGUUCCUGGACUCUGAAUUCUUACAUUCUCAGUGUAUGUCUUGGGCACAAAGUUGGUUGCACGAGUUGUUGAAUCUUGUUACUCAAGUAAAAACCACAGAUCCCAUAGACCCAACCCUGACUUAAGUAGAUUAGUUCCCCCUUUACCCCUUGGAUAUCUUCACAAUAAGGGUAGGAUUUUCCUACUCUUGGAGUGCAUGUCAAUGGGUCAAGGGAAGAUUGGAAAUAUCAAAUUAGAGUUUAGUAGAUUUCUCAGAUGAAUUAGAAAGGCCUGACCUUGUGUAUGUGGUGUAUAUUUAUAUCCACUGACCUUUCGAUCGGCAAGCCCAGGAGGCUCAGUGGUUUAGACCACAGCGCCACCUGCGUCCGCGUGAAGGGGUGAGCUCUUGUUGCUCUGUCCCAGCUUCUGCCAAUCUAGCAGUUUGAAAGCAAGUAGAUAAAUAUGUACCGCUGUGGCGGGAAGGUAAACAGCAUUUCCAUGUGCUAUGGUUUCCAUCAUGGUGUCCUGUUGCACCAGAAGUGGUUUAGUUAUGCUGGCCGCAUGACCCAGAAAGCUGUCUGUGGACAAAUGCCAGCUCCCUCGGCCUGAAAGCGAGAUGAGUGCAACAACCCCAUAGUCACCUUUGACUGUAUGUAACCAUCCAGUGGUCCUUUAUCUUACCUUUGCCUUACAUAUAUAUAUAUAUCCUGAGAUAUUUACAUAAGAAAAUUAAUACUUAUAUUGGAAGGGGCAUGGCCAGCUGCCCUAGCACUGAGCAUGAAAACUGAAGUCAUUGCAUGCCCAUUUUUCUUAAUGCCUAACCGAGAUAUUUAGUUGCAUUUCUCUCAAGUGCGUCAAGUAUGAACAAUGAAGAGAAGCAUGAAUAAUGGAUGCCAUCUGUUUAAGAGGUAUACUUUUGCCAUAAAGCUUGUGGCCAUGAAACUCUGUGCCAAUCAUUCGCAGAGAAGGCAAAAUCGAUGCAUCCGCCUUGGAGCAAAUUCCUAACGUUGGCAGUGUGCUGUGAUGUCGGGACCAGGUAGAAACAGGAUGAAAGGAAACAUGGGAGGGAGUGCUUAGGAGGUACUUUUUAGUAACCACAGCUUGAGGAAUUACAUGAUGAGACCUUAGAAGGCUCCCUCAGUUGGGGAACACAAAUCUGGGACGCUGAAGAUCCUUGACAUGAAGAUACCAGGUGAUGGGAAAGAUCUUUGCCCAAGGCCCUAGGGCAGUGGUUGUCAAAUGGCAUGGCGCGCCACACUGGUGUGGCUAGAGAGAAUGGCAAGUGUAGUGGGAAGAUUCAAGGACAAUCAAAGAAACAUUUAAACAUUUCAGUAUAAUAUACAGUGGUACCUUGGGUUACAUACGCUUCAGGUUACAGACUCCGCUAACCCAGAAAUAGUGCUUCAGGUUAAGAACUUUGCUUCAAGAUGAGAACAGAAAUCGUGCAGCGGCGGUGUGGCAGCAGCGGGAGGCCCUAUUAGCUAAAGUGGUGCUUCAGGUUAAGAACAGUUUCAGGUUAAGUACGGACCUCCAGAACGAAUUAAGUUCUUAACCCGAGGUACCACUGUAGGAUGGUAUCAAAGUAUUUUUUUAUUUGCAAAAUAUGGAUAGAUAUCUUUUAAAAAUGAGAGCAAGAGACAAAGGGUUUCCCUAUGUAUUCCUUAUCAACAACAACAACGAAAAGGUGUGGUGCAAGCAAAUUUUUAUUCUGAAAGUGUGGCCCAGAGAAAAAAGUUCGAGAACCAGUGUGCUAGAGAGAUCCUGCCAGUCAGAGCACCACCACCGCCACCAUCAUCAUCACCAUUAUCGUUUAAGGUAAUUAAGGAGCCCAGGGAAGCAAACAAGUAUCAAAAUGAUACUACCCAACAAUACUGGCCAGAUCAUGGAUUAAUAGCCUGACCUGGUAUAAGACAUCGUCCAAAAUCCAAAGCUUGGGGAGAUGUUUUCAUGUGCUUCAACUGUCCCUGCUUCCUGAUCACUAGCCUUAUUUUUGCCUGGGUCAAUUAGUUUCUAGGUCUGGCAGCCUUUGGAGUUCUGUUCACCCUCCAAACUGCCUAGUUGGGGAAUCCAUAGUCCUUCAAGUGUUGAUGAGUUACAUAAGUAGAGCCUGCUGGAUUGGGCCAGUAUCCCAUCUAGUCCAGCAUCCUGUUCUCCUAGUGUCCAACCAGAUGCCUUCAAAAGCAACUCCCAUCCUCCCUGAUCAUUGGCCAUACUGACUGGGGUUGAUAGGAGCUGGAAGUCCCACUACAUCUGGAAGGGGGCAGUUCCCCAUUCCUAUUCUAGAGAUGAAAUCCCUGCAUAGCUGUCAACUUUUCCCUUUUCUUGUGAGGAAUCCUAUUUGGAAUAAGGGACUUUCCCUUAAAAAAAGGGAAAAGUUGACAUCUAUGAAUCCCUGGCAAGGGUGUGGUGAGCAGAUGGAUGUAUCUAGUCUCUGGUGUGCAUACAUGUAAAUACACAAGGACAAUUAAAAAACCAUUUAAAUACUUCAAUGCAUUGUCUCUAGUAUAAUUUUUUUAUUUAUUUGCAGAUUAUGGAUAGAUAUCUGCCUGAUACUGAGUUAGACGACUGGUCCAUGGAGAUCAGAGUUGCCAACACUGAUGGGCAGCAGCCCUCCCAAAUUUCAGACAGGGUCUUUCCCAUCCCUACCUAGAGAUGCCAAGAAUUCAACUGGAACCUUUUGCAUGCAAAGAAGAUUUUCUGCCACUGAGCUGCAGGCCACAGCCAUUCUCUAACUUCCCAGUGGAUUGUUUUACACUUGGAUUAUGUUUUGACUUUGCAGAACAAAACCCAACUCAUUUUAAGCCUCUGUUCCACUUGCCAGCAGUUGCAUUUCUGCUUAAUAUCAUAAUGUUAUUUUUAAAAAAUCUACAAAGCUUCUUUAUAUUUGUCAAAGGUUCUUUUAAGGAGUUGAUCCAAAGGGAUUAAUUGCUUAUAAUAGCUAAUGGAUUGUGCUAUCAUCAAAGAUGCCUUCCACUUAAAGAUAAUAAUAUAUGGCUUUGGAGACAACUUGGUAUAUACAGGAGCAACGUUUAUUGAAAUCUAAGUGAAUGAUCCGCAAUAAAUUUUUGCCAUUGCUGUCAGUCUGGGC
rnacentral:lncRNA from 1 species